rnacentral:rRNA from 1 species
GAUGAACGCUAGCGUUUGGCCUAACACAUGCAAGUCGAGGGGCAGCACGGUGUAGCAAUACACUGGUGGCGACCGGCGCACGGGUGCGUAACGCGUAUGCAACCUACCCAUAACAGGGGGAUAACACUGAGAAAUUGGUACUAAUACCCCAUAACAUCAGGACCGGCAUCGGUUCUGGUUGAAAACUCCGGUGGUUAUGGAUGGGCAUGCGUUGUAUUAGCUGGUUGGCGAGGUAACGGCUCACCAAGGCAACGAUACAUAGGGGGACUGAGAGGUUAACCCCCCACAUUGGUACUGAGACACGGACCAAACUCCUACGGGAGGCAGCAGUGAGGAAUAUUGGUCAAUGGACGCAAGUCUGAACCAGCCAUGCCGCGUGCAGGAAGACGGCUCUAUGAGUUGUAAACUGCUUUUGUACGAGGGUAAACGCUCUUACGUGUAAGAGCCUGAAAGUAUCGUACGAAUAAGGAUCGGCUAACUCCGUGCCAGCAGCCGCGGUAAUACGGAGGAUCCAAGCGUUAUCCGGAUUUAUUGGGUUUAAAGGGUGCGUAGGCGGUUUGAUAAGUUAGAGGUGAAAUACCGGUGCUUAACACCGGAACUGCCUCUAAUACUGUUGAACUAGAGAGUAGUUGCGGUAGGCGGAAUGUAUGGUGUAGCGGUGAAAUGCUUAGAGAUCAUACAGAACACCGAUUGCGAAGGCAGCUUACCAAACUAUAUCUGACGUUGAGGCACGAAAGCGUGGGGAGCAAACAGGAUUAGAUACCCUGGUAGUCCACGCAGUAAACGAUGAUAACUCGCUGUCGGCGAUACACGGUCGGCGGCUAAGCGAAAGCGAUAAGUUAUCCACCUGGGGAGUCCCGUUCGCAAGA